AACCUGCUCAGAUGUGGCCCCUUGUGAGGUGGGUGUCAGUCCACAGUCAGCUAACUUCCCUUUAUAGCCCUGAAAGUUAGCCUGCUUUCCUGUGACUCCCACAUCUGAUCCCUCUUUGCUCCGUGGCCACACCUCCUCCUCUCAUGCUGCCCUCCCUUCUUUUUUUUUUCUCCUUCCCUGCCUGCUGGAAACAUGCUGCAAGCCCACAGAUAAGGCAGAGGUUCUCAGCCCAGCACACUCACACACACGCAAUCAGACAUGGGCCAGCUAUUGAGCUGGAUCCGAGGCCCACGGGACGCCCCGGCCCUGCAGGAUGCGUCUGUGGAGGAGCAGUCGCAGCCGAGUCAGGCAACACCCAAACCGGCACCUCAGGUCUCUGCUGGGAAGCCUGCGCAGUUCGAGAAGGCAUCAUCAGGAUCUGCCAUGGCUGCAAAGCCUGGGAUGGUUGCCACAGCAACAGGCGAUGCUACAGGAAGUGGGCCGGCAGCAGGGAAACAGACGGCUAAAGCUAAACCAGAGACUGCAACCCAAGUCAAGGGCAAGACUACAGUUCCUUCUCCUGCAGCUGGAUCAGCAGCUGUCUCUGGUACAGCAGCAGCAGCAUCCUCUACAAAACCUAAAGAGUCACUCAAAGACUCAGCCAAGGUAGACUUGACUUCUGCAAGCCUUUUCUGAGCAACGGCUCUCUUGGUAUUUCUUUGGUGUCUUCCAUUUCUGUUUCUCUUCUCUGACUUUUGUCGUUUGAAUUUUUCAAAGACGCAUUGAUACUUGCUUUGCGAGCUCAGUGGCCUUAUGGUAGAGUGUCCGCCCUGAGACUGGAACGUCAUGAGAUCAAAUCCACGGCUGAGUCAUACCAAAGACUCUAGAUAUUGGACCCAAAGCCUUCCUGAGCAUUAACUCCACAUUACAGGGUUGGAAUGGGGAUUUAAACCAACAAAUGGUUCACGAGUGGAGUUGUGUCUGCAGCUCAGUGCUCUUCCAGGGGACGGGUCAAAUGAGAACAAAUUUCACAUAUUUAAUGGGCCUUUGGACAAUCUUUCAGGAGCCUUUAUGAAGCAACUCUCUGCUUUGGCAUACGGUACAUAGUGCAUUUCUACUUUCAGGGGAUUUAAAGUAACUUUUUUUCCCCUGCGCAUCUCUCAUCUCAAACCUGAGUCUGGGACAGGCUUCCUGGCUGAUCGUUUGUUUCUCAAUUUAGUGAACGUUAGGCUGCUGAAGUGUUUUUCUCUGGUGAAAAUGAUUCUUUCUGUGCUGUAUUCUAUUAUGUUGUUGUGAUUGUACAUUAUUAUUUAGUAAAAUCUUUGCCCUGUGACUAUAACUCUGUUGUCAUAAAUGUUUUUUUUGGUUGCAAUAAAAAAACACUAUAUCUUACAGCAGGCAAGAGCAACCUGCAAGUAUUGAGAUGUUUGGCUAAGAAGCAGCUCAUUAACACUUCUUUUUUUCCACAAUUGUAAACUGGAUAAACCGGUGCUCAAACAUGUUUUUUUCAAGUUUCAAAUCCUGUCAGAAAAGAAGACUACACCAAAGAUGCACAAAAAGGUGUAAAAUACAAAAGGGGAAAGGUUCAAAGGCUAGCUUUCGGAUUCUGUAUGCAUCAGUUCACUAAUUGGCAAAGGUUUUUUCAGCACAAAUCCCUUGCAUGUUCUACAGAAAGACAAAGAUGAACCACUGUUGUUUUUACCAAUGCAAAAUGCAAUGCAAUGCAAUUAAAAAAUCAAACAUACAAAAAACCCAUAACAAAAAUGAUCAUGUAAGUGGAAAUACCUUACACUAACCUCCAAGCAUGGUGGUGGAGGUAUUGUUGUUGGACUGAUUUAAACCUAAAUUCAGCCGAAUCCUCCUCUUGUCUUGCUGGACAGGUCAAAGUCAGUUGCAGCUACUCUGUCUGUGGUUUGAAACAUGUCUGAAUAUUCUGGUACAUCCAUGGAAGCUGCUGGUUGAUGACAUGUCAUCUGUGAUUUCAUUGAAAUCUUCAGAAAAGAGUAAAUUUUUCUCAAGUGAUUCCUUCAGGGAUUAUAAGCAUUGCCAAAUGCUUUAAUGCAAAUACAUUUUUCCAUUAAAACACAAUUUUACUUUUUAGAAAAUAUUGCCUGUUAGCUAAACAAAUUGAAACCAAAAACGUUUUAUUUUUAGUUAAAUGUUAAUCAAAUUCCAAUCGUUCACACAUUAUUUGCAGCUA
ensembl:lncRNA